rnacentral:rRNA from 1 species
UACGUAGGAGGCAAGCGUUGUCCGGAAUUACUGGGCGUAAAGCGCGUGUAGGUGGUGGGACAAGUCUGCUGUGAAAGCGCCUGGCUUAACCGGGCGAGGUCGGCGGAAACUGGUCGACUCGAGGACGGUAGAGGGGGGUGGAAUUCCCGGUGUAGUGGUGAAAUGCGUAGAGAUCGGGAGGAACACCUGUGGCGAAGGCGGCCCCCUGGGCCGGCCCUGACACUGAGACGCGAAGGCGUGGGGAGCGAACGGG